ACUAAAGAAUGACCCAGUAGGCAAUUCGUUGGUCGAAUUCUCUGCGAACAUAGCGAAUUUAGAGCGAAUUCGCUGCAGCGAAAAAUCGUUGCGAUUUCGAGGACAAUUUCGCCUAGAACCCGCACCGACUUCGCAACGAUAUAUUUCUCAUCGAAAAAUCUAAGACAAUUCGUUACGAAUUCGAGUACGAACAAUCGCUGGCUUUUCGAGGAAAGAAUUGUUCAUGCGAAUUCGCAACGAAUUCGGAAGGACUUCAGAAUUUCAUUGUCCGUAUAAAAUUUGAGCAGCGAUUUCACACCGAAAUCGCAGCUACUCCUCGCCUUGAGAUCACGUGCCCUUCGACCGGCGGAUUUUAAGUAAACGAUCACAACGGAGAAAACUUAAUAAAUAAUCCUCCUCUUGUACAAAUUAAUAAUUAAUUAAUUAGUGAUUUAAUUUGUGAAAUCCAUGGAUUCUGAAAUCUUUUGAAGAUGGUUUCGCGUUUGUGAGCAUCACUCACAAAAUGUAUUUGCUCACUGGGGAAACUGUACUUGCAAAAUUAUUUCCAGAUAAGUCAUAUUAUUUUAGGCUAAAACCUUCCUAGAUCUAACCAUGUUAAUUAAAUCUGCCAAUAGUUCAGAUUUUUCAGAGGCUGCACCAAAAUGUCAUGUCGGUUACGAAGAACGCCAUUCUCCCAAAAUUUUUGACAAAGGCAGAGAUUUAAAAAAAAUAAAACCCAACUCCAGGCUGACACGAGUGAAUACAGAAAACUCAACAAUCGAAAAUCAUACUCCCAAGGGUAUUGAAAAUUAUGUUGUUUAUUAUUUUGGUUUGUAUUUUAUACUUUAAUAUGAAUGUAUUGAUGUAUAUUACGUUCUAAUAAAUCUUUCAUUGCUUUCGGGAAGAAUAAACGAAUAAAAAGGGUGACAUUGGAUUCGCAGAGAAAUCACGACGAAACCAAUCGAAAUCGAUACGACUCAGAGCGAAAUCGUCAUAAAAAUGCAUCUCGAAUUCUCAACGAUACAGCGCGAAGUCGCUGCGAAAUUCGCGCUAAGAAUUCGCUGCUCUUUCGCACAGAUUCGGCGGUCAUUUAGCUCUGUUUUCGACGUCGAUUCGAUAGAGAUUCUCUGCGAUUCGAUGCUGGUGCAUCGCUACGAUAUCGCAGAGAUUCGUUGUCUUUUUGCCUACUGGGGACGGACUUUGCAAAAUGUGUGCAAUCUUGUGUUUUCUUUGUUUACAAAAUUAUGAACGGGGAUUACGUGAGUGAAAGUGUGUAAAGCUGAAUAUUGACUUUUAACUAGAAAUGUAUAAAACAUAACAAUGUGAAAUGUUUGCAUACAUUUCACACUUAGAAAUCCAGUAGUAAAACAGUACCAAGCUAAGCGGUAUUCAUGUAUGUUUGGCUUUACCAAAGUGGUAUUGAUAAGUGUAAGAUAAAAAAAAGUUUUACCAUAUCGGUCACAAAUUUUGAUAGAUACGUAUAAUUUUAAUACCAAGUGGUAGCAACUGUAAUACCGAAACAUCAAUACCUGCAGGUAUUGAUUUUUAUAGUCAGGCAUGCCUGACUAUACUAGAUUUCUAACAGUGUGUUGAGUCCAAUGAAAUCACUGUUGAUGUUCGUAAAUUGAUGAGGUCUGUAAAAUUUAUUGGUGAAUUUGCACAAAAUGAGAAGACCCUUUUGAUCUGUAUAAUUUAUAAUUUUCCUUUGUACAUAAUAAGCUGUGCAAACAACUUAAAUAUGCAAAUACUUAAUCAGCAGUUUGCGAAGUUUGCUGGUAGUAGACAUUCAAUGUCAUUCUUUGCGAAAAUAUGAUGCCGUAUUAUAAAAGUUGUAAAAUUUGGUACAAUAAUUUCUUAGUGUUUGCCUGCAUGCAUGGUUGCAUGGAAAGUGGUAUAGUGGUAAAUAGCGAUAUUCGGCUUUACAAAAUUUGGACGCUGCAUGGUGGAUUUUCUCCGGGAGAGAUAGAUGGUUUGUUUUGAAGGUGCAGAAUAAGCCAACAACUUCUCCUGAGUUUGACUUCUGGAUAGGAUUUGUUAAAUACAUACGAAGCCAUGUAUGUAGUCGAAAGGAGUUCAGUUGCUUGAGAUAGUACUUACUCGGAUCCGGAAUUUAAUUUUAUCAUAACACUUUUUUAUUGAAGAAGGUAAAUUGGUGAUAAAUGGAAUAAUGGACAAUAUUUCGAGUUUCGUGUGGUGUUUCGCCAAUAAAAAUUGCAUGAGAGAAAAUUAAAUUAUAAAAAAUGCAAGGAAUAUUAAACCAAAAAGUAGUACAAUAAAAUUUGAGUAAAUUCUUUUGCCAGCGGUGCAAAAUUUUUGGCAUAUCAUGCAGAGUUGCGAAUAUGUGUUUGGUUUGAGCCGACGCACGUCAAGUUUUAACUUAAAGCACCGAAUAAUUCUUGUUUUUUAGUAAUUUGUGAAAAUGUAAUAUUUGGGAAAAUUUGAAAAUAUUUAAAAAUUAGUUACUUACACUUUCACAAAGUUCGAAAUGAUCUAAAAUUAUGUACAUUAAUUUCUAUAAUAUCGUGGAAAGUUGAGGUGAAUACACUCAUUUCUUUUUGCAUUCCACGCAUUUUCUGGAACAUUAGCUAGAAAUGCAGGAAAUGUAGUGAAAGAACAUAAAUCAUGAUAACUAUGUGUGUUAGGUUAGACAAUCAAUACCUUUUGUAAGCAAGUAUGAUGCCCCUCCCGAAUCUACCCUUACCUAAUUCUUUCAUUAGAUCAGAGUUGUACCAGCAGGUGCACAUGCUCUGGCCGUUUAGUUCUUGUGACAUGCCUUAUUUUCCAUCUAUUCAAACUGAUGUACUCGUAAGGAAAAUAUGCAUCAUUCGAAAUAUUCAAAUUCCUGAAACAUUUAUUCGAUUGAUUAAUUAUUAGAUAUCACUCGGACCUUUGGCCCAUAAUAGUAUUAUGUAUUAUCAGUAUCAGACACACUACACAGUACAGGUUAAUUAUUAAUGACGCUAAUGUUUAAUUAAUUAAAGUGAAAAUAAACGGCUACUUGAAGUAAUUAGCAAUUAA